rnacentral:rRNA from 1 species
GAUGAACGCUGGCGGCGUGCCUAAUACAUGCAAGUCGAGCGAACAGACGAGGAGCUUGCUCCUCUGACGUUAGCGGCGGACGGGUGAGUAACACGUGGAUAACCUACCUAUAAGACUGGGAUAACUUCGGGAAACCGGAGCUAAUGCCGGAUAAUAUAUUGAACCGCAUGGUUCAAUAGUGAAAGACGGUUUUGCUGUCACUUAUAGAUGGAUCCGCGCCGCAUUAGCUAGUUGGUAAGGUAACGGCUUACCAAGGCAACGAUGCGUAGCCGACCUGAGAGGGUGAUCGGCCACACUGGACCUGAGACGCGGUCCAGACUCCUACGGGAGGCAGCAGUAGGGAAUCUUCCGCAAUGGGCGAAAGCUUGACGGAGCAACGCCGCGUGAGUGAUGAAGGUCUUCGGAUCGUAAAACUCUGUUAUUAGGGAAGAACAAAUGUGUAAGUAACUAUGCACGUCUUGACGGUACCUAAUCAGAAAGCCACGGCUAACUACGUG